rnacentral:rRNA from 1 species
AGUGAACGCUGGCGGUAGGCCUAACACAUGCAAGUCGAACGGCAGCACAGUAAGAGCUUGCUCUUACGGGUGGCGAGUGGCGGACGGGUGAGGAAUACAUCGGAAUCUACUUUUUCGUGGGGGAUAACGUAGGGAAACUUACGCUAAUACCGCAUACGACCUACGGGUGAAAGCAGGGGAUCUUCGGACCUUGCGCGAUUGAAUGAGCCGAUGUCGGAUUAGCUAGUUGGCGGGGUAAAGGCCCACCAAGGCGACGAUCCGUAGCUGGUCUGAGAGGAUGACAGACCAGAGUGGUGCUGGGACACGGACGAGACACGUACGGAGUGAAGGAGUGGUGAGGAUGGAACGAUGAGCGCAAGCGGGAUCCAGCCAUGCCGGGUGGGUGAAGGGGGGUGUCGGGUUGUAAAGCUAUUGGUGUGGAAAAAAAGAGGAGAAGGUUCAUCCCGCGCUGGUCUGACGGUACAGAAAAAAGAAGCAGCGUCUAACUACGUGCCAGCAGCAGGGGUAAUAGAUGGGAAGAACAAACAUCUGAAC